rnacentral:lncRNA from 1 species
UCAUUUAUCUUUUAUAUAUCUCACUGAGGCUGUUUUAAUUUGCAAAAAUUCUCAAGCAUACUUACCUUGUAUUUAUUGCCUGAUCAAAACGGGAUCCGAGGAGGGGAAUGUCAUACUCUUAGAUCAAAGACUUUGGAAAUAAAAAUCUUUGUCAACUCUUGCUGGCAUAUUGCUUAUUAGAGGGACCAUGGGCUAACAUUAUCUUUUUCUUCUUUUUUUUAAGUGGAUACUGAGGUACCCCUAAUUCUACUGCUGGACGUUUGUACAUUUUUUCUGUGAGGUUAUCGAGCACUUGCUCCUUUUUAUUUCCUCGAAAUAUCUUUAUUUUUGCGUAGCCCAUGCCUCUAAUGCAAUAAUACAUCGGACGAGUGAAUCUUUCUGAAUAAAUGUCUUGAUCUUAGGAGCAUGAUAAAUCUCUCAAAAAGGGUCUAACUCAUUUUGAACAAACUCAAUACAGAGUAGAUAGCCUUAUAAUCAUAAUUAAUAUUUUUAGUUUUAUCAGGCAUAUAAAACACUGAGGAUGGUAGCUAGAAUUUUGAAGAUUUUGAAAUAAAUUCUCCAAGCAACAAUGAUAUCUAGAAUAAGAAACUCAUACUUUACCAUCUCACAUUCCAUACUGACUUAAGUAACACAGGGUUUUAAAAUGAUUUUAUAAUAGUUGC